rnacentral:pre_miRNA from 12 species
AAGAGUCUUUCUAGAGGGCCCCUGACAAUCCUUUUGUGCUCUAAUUCAGAGGGUUGAUAGGGAGCUCUCUGGAAAGGCUCU